rfam:Enterobacter cloacae S611 EDP2.NODE_1909, whole genome shotgun sequence.
CCGGCGGAAGUGCUUGCUCCGUGGACCGGCGACAUUGCCGCUGAGGGUAUCAGCAAAUUUCUGCGCGGCGGCGCACGCCUUUUUCGCCACGGCUUUACGCGCCAGCAGCGCUACCUCUCUGAAGCCUUAACGGAAGAGUGGCGCGUGGCACCAGGCGCGCUGGAAAUCGCCUGGUUUGCCGAAGAGACCGCGGCGGCUGAACGUGCCGCUGACGCCUUAGCCAAACGACUGGAUAAACUGGAGGGCAAAUGA